UACGGGGGGAGCAAGCGUUGUUCGGAUUUACUGGGCGUAAAGGGCGCGUAGGCGGCACUGCAAGUCGACUGUGAAAUCUCCGGGCUUAACUCGGAAAGGUCAGCCGAUACUGCGGGGCUAGAGUGCAGAAGGGGCAACUGGAAUUCUCGGUGUAGCGGUGAAAUGCGUAGAUAUCGAGAGGAACAUCAGUGGCGAAGGCGGCCAUCUGGGACAACACUGACGCUGAAGCACGAAAGCGUGGGGAGCAAACAGG
rnacentral:rRNA from 1 species